CCACCUGAACCAGUGAGAAGACACUUAGCAUCACCAGUGAUGGGACAAACUGCUAUCACGCGCCCCUGAAGUGAUGCACUGGGGAGGACACAGCAUCACCUCCAUGGAAUUCCCGCCCCGAAUGCCCAGUCUGAAUCUGAUCAUGAGGGAAUGGUCAGAAGAAUAAAAGGACUGUGAUUGGUCUGCUGAGAAGGAAGAUGAGUGUGAAGAUGGAUACUGGAGAAGUGCAGAGAGAGGAUGAAUGGUUCCAGCUGACAAAGGCAGAGUGACAUAUUAUGACGCAGAGGAGGAAUCGUGAUGGUCCCUGUCAACCGUGGUGGUUCCAUUCUCCUUGCCAGUGACUGGUGUACGCGUUAGCUUGCAGCCCAGUCCUGGCUGAUGAGACCUGAGGAGGGCUGAAGAUAUGUCUGCACAGGUCACCUAGAACAUCUCUGGCCAUUUUGUGACCACUAGGGGAGGCGUUCCCAACUUCUGAGGGUGGCAGAACAGAACAAUGGAGAGAAAGCACCUAGGUCCAUCCUGAGUCCCUGAAUUAACUAUCUUUGGAACUGACCUAUAUUAGCCUUCUCAUUAACAUGAGAAAUUAAAGCCCUUGCUGUUUAGCCACAUGGGUCUUUCAUUUGCAGCCCAAAGUAUCUGAAUGGAUAUAAUUGUCUCUCCCAUAUAGAAAUAUGGGCUCAUAUGUCCAAGCGGGCAACAUACAAGUAUUUUAUUAUAGCAUUGCAUGUAAUAAUGAGACUUGAAUGUGCUUUGGUAGGGACCCAGGGAAACACGCUGUGUUUCAGUAAUACUACUGAAUUCUAGGCAGCCAUUAAAAGCAAUAAGGUAAAUUUUUAUGCACUGAUUCCACCAUGCAAAGAUCUCCAGGACAUAUUAAGUUUUAUGAAGUUGUGAAAUCAUACAUGUGGUAGAACCCCAUUUAUGACAAACAAAAUAAUCCUCAAAAUAAAGUAUGUGUAAAGAUUCAUAUAUAUACACAAUCAUACCCACAGAGACAGGGUGUGGGAGGAGCCACAUCAUACUCUUAAAAGUAUUUACCUCCAGAGACAGGAGAUGCAUAGGAAGUGAGAGACAAAAGAGACUUUGUUUUUUUAUAUAGAGCAGCAACACCAAUGGAUUUCAUUUAUGACUUCUGUCAUUAAAAAUAAUGUAUAGGAAACAUUCCACAUGCUCAUUACAGAAAAAUCUAGCAAAUGCUAGAAUGUAAAGAUGUAAGUUUUGUUCAAACCUUGCAAGGCAGAGGUCUUUUUUUUUUUUUAAAACCAUUAUGUCAGGUUUCCUGGGAACAAAGAGAAACUUCUCCUCAGGUCUUCAAAUGUUUUUUCUUGUGUGUAGCACAAUUACCUGGGCAGAGUUCAGUGUUUUUAAUCAAAAGCUACUUGUCUAGUAGGCAAUGUCACUAUUCCCAGCCUGCAUAAACAAAGCUUUGUGGGAAAUGGGUUUGGAAAGUGGAAGAGCUGCAUCAUUUGAAUUGGAGUGUGUGUUUGUGUGUGUGUGCGUGUGUGUGUGUGAGAGAGAGAGAGAGAGAAAAGAGGAGGGAGAGAAGGAAAGAGAAAGGAGGAGGAUAGGGUGCUCUGUAUAUGAUUCUGGAGAAUUCUCCAAGGAAAUAUCACCCCCUUUGUCUCCCAGCAUCAGCUUUUCUCUCCCAACUACUUGGCAUCAUACAAAUUUGACCUUCCAGAGGGGAGAGGCUUCCUGCGAUACUCGGACAGUAAUGACAGAGUUGUAGGCACGGGCUAUAUCAUAAUUGCCUUCCGGCUGUCUCCUGCAUUUGCCUGGCUCUGAUUUCUGGGUUGGGUACCAUUACUCUCAAGGUUCCUGUCAUGUGGCCAUUAAAUCAUUGUUUCCUCUGACAGUGCCAUUUCUGCAAAACCCUGGAGGAAGAAAACAGCCCCGUCUCCAGGACUGGAAUGCUGCCGCCUGGUCAUUAUGCCCAACAGCCCUUGAACGGCUGCUCCGGAAGACGCGUGGCUUUGUUGCCACCACACAAUGCCUCCCCAGACUAAAUGGCUCUGUUGCGCCAUGCUUUUUCAGAGCGCAAUUAUCCUGGCGAGGGAGCACAGAGUAGCACUAAUUUAGAAGAGGUCUGGUCCAGCAAACGGGGGUAAAGAAAAGAAUGGCAGAAGAAAUCAAGAAGGAUACUUCUCUAAGGGUAUUACUCAUUUUUUUUCCCCCCUAGAGAGAGAGAAAAGCAAAAUUUUUCAGACAGGGUCUAAUUUUCUUCUGAAAUAGAUGGCUGAGAAUGGGGAGAUUUGGGGUCUGCUGAACAUGGAAAGAUGAGGUGGGAGGGAUAGUUCUGGUGGCCAAUUUCCAGCCGCUGAGCUGUAGCUGAAUAGAGGAUGCUGGCGAGCCUUUGACAAAGCACCAAGAAACCAAGGGCCUGCCCCACUUUUGGGAUCAGAGUUCAUUCAUUCAACAAAUACUGGUGGUUGCUGUGUGCUGGGCACUCUUCUAGGUGCUGGGGAUGCAGCCAUGAAUCAGGCAAAGUCGCUGUAUCCUAACUGGGCUCCUCGUAGGAAAAAGAUGGCGCACUCAGAUUGGGAAAUUGAGGAUAGCUGAAUAAAGGGACUGUUUACAAAGGCUUGGGCAGGUUGUAAAGAAAUCUACAAGGGACAGGGCGGCACGCCGGGGCCAGCACCAGCCAUCCUUCAGCCUGGGAAGGGACAAAGCGAGGGAGCAGUGACCAGAACCCAAGAGGGUAGCUGUAUGGAGAUACGGGACAGGAGCUGCAGCCCUUGGUCACAACCCAUCACAUCAAUAUGGCAGAAAGAGACAGGGAACAAAUACUUGGACUUCUCUCUCCUCCUUCCCUUUGGUCUAGCGUUGCCUCCUAUUGGCUGAAUCUGACCUGAAGCCCGAGAGCAAGGGGGCUCCUGGACGCAGGACAUGCAGGUCCUCCUCCCUGGGCACAGAGCAGGGGGGAGAAGGGCGGCUAGAGGACCUGGAGAAGCAAGGGGGAUGUUUCCAGCACACUCCCUGCCCUCAUGGAGCUUACAUUCUACUUGGCGGAGACAGACAAUAAACACAUAAGCCAUUAGCUCUCAGAUAUAAUGUUGCCAGGACCUCCUCUGAUCCAAGCAGUACCUCUGUGCAAAUUACAAAAAGCCACCCUCUCUCCAAAUGCAUGCAGCUCCGUCCCAGGGCACAUGGUUAAUGAAUGCAGCACAGGCUGGAUAUCACCCCCCCAUCUGCCUUUUGGGUCAGGGUUUUGGACUCAAGCCCCAAAAUAUGAUCUCCGUGACUGUCAACUAGUCACGGUGUCAUAAAUUAAAAAAUCAGGGGCCAGCCUUGUGGCGCAGUGGUUAAAUGUGCAUGUUCCACUUCCACAGCCAGGGG